GACCUGGCUCCAGCUCUGCUGGAAUUUGUUUGCCCCUGGGAUGUCUACUGAAAAAUGUGAGGAGCAGCACUUUCUACCCAUGGGGCAGGAGCCUGCACCAUGAUGGAUGGAGCCGAAGGCAAGCUAGGCCUUCUGAACAAGUCCAACCUAAAGGAGCCUGGAAGCAGCCAUUGGCCAUCUGAAGCUCUUCAUCUUGGGAUGGAACCACGUGGGAUUUGCCCUGUCUGCACUGGCGCAUCUACUGGCAUUGUCAUUUUGCUGGUCUUGACCAGAUGUCCAGAAGCUGUGCUUAGAACUGUGCUGAAUUCUACGGGCUGCCUGUGAAAGGAUCCUAAGCAAAAGACCCCAGGAAGCAUCUGAAGUGACCUUUGAGGCUGGCCUCUAGGGGUUUUGAGUGCUGUGUUUCUAAGCCAUUGGAAUGGGAGGGAGAGGUGACUGAAAGGACAGGGAGCUUGUGGAUCAUAGACAUCUGGCUACCACACCCUCAUCUCCAUCCUGUCUGAAAUCGCACCCCUGGGGCUGGCCUGAAGCACAGCCCAGACAAGCGGGGGUGUAAAGUGCUUCUCCCGGGACUCACCCCGCACGUCCGUCCAUCCUGGGCUUGUUUUCUCUUCUCUGUGUUAAUUUUGCUGCAUACCUUUCAGCUUCGAGGAGAUAAAGCCAUGUUGACUUCACAAGCAAGUCCAAGAGACCAAAGAACUCUGGGUCUUGCUCCUGGUAAACUCUAGAGUCACGGCUUCCCCCUUGGAUCUGCUUUUUCUCCUGUCAAUAAAUGAAAAUAGAGACACAAACACAGUCUCAAAAAUAUACCUUAAGGGGGCUAGUAAGGUGGCUCAGCAAGUAAAGGUGCUUGCCAUAAAGUCCAGCAACCUGAGGUCAACCCCUAGGGCACACAUGGUGGAAAGAAGUAUGCAAACCAAUAGUGUUACAGCUCCACAGUCUGGUUAAGGGGAAGGUUUCUAUUGUAAAUAUGAGAGAGAACAGCCAGAAACAUCGGAAAGAGUCCAGAGCAAAGAGAGAAAGAAGUAGACUGAACAUAGCCAGAAAACUGGACCAUGCCACCAGAGAAACAGGAGCACAGCAGAGAGAGAGAGAGAGAGAGAGAGAGAGAGAGAGAGAGAGACAGAGACAGAGACAGAGACAGAGACAGAGACAGAGAGAGACUAUCGCAGAAAUUAGCAGAGUUAUAAAGAGUAGCUGAGGGGAGCCUCUGAGCUGGGAAACUUUGGGUAGGAGAGGAGGCCAGAAGAGCUAGGAUGCUAGCAUGGACCUUGAAAGAAGUAACAGUACUUGUGAUACUGAAGAACCCUGGAUGACUCUGUGAGAGCUCUGAAUGAAUAAAGCAGUAAAUAUGAACAUGUCACAUCUCGCUUUGCACAAUCUAGGUCAACAUUAAAAUGGAUAUUGAAUAUUUUACCUAGCAGGUUAACAUUUACCAAGUGUCUUAUAUUUAAUGCCCCAGUUCAUAAUGAAAGCUUCCUGCAGGCUGGUGCUAGCCAGGCUCUAACUGGUUCCAAAGGAUUGGCAUCCUUGGUAUUGUUGCCCUUGGUUAGCCACUCCACACUGUAGGGCUGACCUGUGUAACCAAUAGACUCUGCAAGAAUGAGGGGUGCAGUCUCCAGGAUUAGAAGAUAGCUGAUGUCUGUAAGUACUUCAAGUUCCCUCGGAGAAGCCCACAUCGUGACAACAGGCAAGAAUAGCUAGAAAGAAGAGCAGCCAUUCCCCCCAGGGAGCCUUUGGAUACCUGCAGUCACUGCCAAUCCCAUUUGGGUUUUUUGCUUGUUUUAUAUAAUGUCUUUAUUGAAAUAUAAUUCACAUGCCAUAUAAUUCAGCCACUUAAAAGGCACAGUUUGAUGGCAUUUUAGAACAGUUACAGAUACACGUAAGCCAUCAACACCUGUGCCCUUUAGCUGUCAGCUCCUCGUUUCCCCGGCCUGCCUCACAAAGCAACCACCGAACAACUUCUAGAUUCAUCCCUGUCGAUUUGCCACUUAGAUAUAUUUGAAGAAGUGGAUUCCUUUAGACUAGGUUUUUCCUUUUCAGUUUAUUUGUUAUUGUAUGUUUGUGUGCAUGAUUCAAGGAGGCAGACACUUACCUGCCACGGUGUGAUUGGCAGUCAGAGGACAGCUUUAUCAGACUUCACUCUCCCACUCUAGGUGGGUUCUGGAGAGCCUGGGUCACUAGGCUUGCCUGGGAAACACCUUCACCCGCUGAGUCUUUCCCCUGGGCCAGGGUGCAGUAGUUUCUGACUGAUGGGUAUUUACCGUUAUGUUUUCAAAGUCAGUCUGGGUUAUAGCGUGUGUCAGAACCUCGUUUCCUUUCAUGGCUGAAUAGAAUUCUGUCCCCGUUGUUUAUACGUGUAUUUUGCUUACCCAUUCAUGGACAUUGGGUUGCUUCCAACUUUGGACUAUUGUGAACACUGUUACUAUAAACACUGGUAUACAGGU
ensembl:lincRNA Gm36582 predicted gene, 44275